GAAAUGCGAUAAGUAAUGUGAAUUGCAGAAUUCAGUGAAUCAUCGAAUCUUUGAACGCACCUUGCGCCCUUUGGCCAUUCCAAAGGGCAUGCCUGUUUGAGUAUCAUGAACACCUCAACUCUCAUGGGUUUGCCAUGAUGAGCUUGGACUUUUGGGGGUUUUGCUGGCCCAUCGCCGGCUCCUCUCAAAUGAAUCAGCUUCCCAGCAUUUGGUGGCAUCACAGGUGUGAUAACUAUCUGCGCUUGUGGUAUUCCACCGGGUGACCUUCAGCGAUGGAGGUUUGCUGGAGCUCAUAAACGUCUCUCUUUGGCGAGGGACAUUGUUUUCGAACGUUUGAUCUCAAAUCAGGUAGGACUACCCGCUGAACUUAA
rnacentral:rRNA from 1 species